GCGGCUAUCGCUAAGUUUAAACCGUUGGUGGUGUAACAUGGUUUGUUGGAAAAGUCUAACGCCUAACUUCCCUCCGUCAGACGGCCUCGAGUCCAGCCCAGACACCAGGCAGCAGUGGCGCUUCUACGGCUACCUGACCGGCUACCUGACCUGCAUCACGGGCCAUCGCUGUGGGGUCUUCCAGAACCUGACCAUCCAGGAGGUCCAAGAGGCUUCCAGAAGCCCGGACGAGUCCGCCUAUGUCAUAAACAUCCAGUCCCUGUCGAACCCUGAACAAAUAUUUUCAAUCUGCAUGGACCAGCAUGGGGCUUCCCGGCAAGCCCACCUUCACUGACGUCCGAACUGCCAUCGCGACCCACGCAAAGAAUUCACAUUCUUCCGAGGAUCGCAGGAAGGUGGCCCAAUUCAUGUGCCACGAUACCUCAACCUCAGACAAGUUCUACGCGCUUCACCUAGGCCCUCUCCAAGCACGUGAGCACCGCAGACUCUUCGAGAGGGCCUUGGUGGAGGAGGAGGAGGAGGAGGAG